rnacentral:rRNA from 1 species
UACGGAGGGGGCUAGCGUUGUUCGGAAUUACUGGGCGUAAAGCGCGCGUAGGCGGACCUGCAAGUCGGGGGUGAAAGCCCGAGGCUUAACCUCGGAACUGCCUUCGAUACUGCGGGUCUCGAGUCCGGGAGAGGUGAGUGGAAUUCCUAGUGUAGAGGUGAAAUUCGUAGAUAUUAGGAAGAACACCAGUGGCGAAGGCGGCUCACUGGCCCGGUACUGACGCUGAGGCGCGAAAGCGUGGGAGCAAACAGG